rnacentral:rRNA from 1 species
CACUAUGCCUAGCCCUAAACAUUGACAGUUAAUUACACCCACUGUCCGCCUGGGAACUACGAGCGCCAGCUUAAAACCCAAAGGACUUGGCGGUGCUUUAGACCCACCUAGAGGAGCCUGUUCUAGAACCGAUAAUCCCCGUUAAACCUCACCCUUCCUUGUCAUUUCCGCCUAUAUACCACCGUCGUCAGCUUACCCUGUGAAGGCCCAAUAGUAAGCGCAAUCGGCAAUGCCCAAAACGUCAGGUCGAGGUGUAGCGAAUGGAAGGGGAAGAAAUGGGCUACAUUUACUAACACAGUAAAUACGGAUGAUUACCCUGCAACGAGUAUCUGAAGGAGGAUUUAGCAGUAAGCAAAAAGCAGAGUGUUUUGCUGAAAUUGGCCCUGAAGCGUGCACACACCGCCCGUCACUCUCUCCGAACUAAAACUUUAAACAUAACUAAUAUGCUAUAACUGUAAAGGGGAGGCAAGUCGUAA